rnacentral:lncRNA from 7 species
CCGGACCCAAUGCGGUGCCUUUCGCCCUCCUGCCUCCUAUGGACACUCCUCCCAUUUCCUUUCUCUGCUGCCCUUCUUCCCUUCCCCAUCACCCAAUCUGUACCUAUAGACACUCCUCACUCCCAUUUCCUCUUUCCUGCUCCUUUUCUUCCUUCCCCAUCACCCCAAUUUGUACCUAUAGACUCCUCACUCCCAUUUCCUAUUUCUGCUGCUUCUCUUCCUUCCUCAUCACCCCAAUUUGUACCUAUAGACUCCGCGCUCCUAUUUUCUACCUCUCCUGCUCCCUUUCUUCCCUUCCCCAUCACCCAAUCUGUACCUAUAGACUCCUUGCUCCUAUUUCCUCUUUCCUGCUGCCCUUCUUCCCUUCCCCAUCACCCAAUCUGUACCUAUGGACACUCCUCAGUUCUAUUUCCUCUUUCCUGCUGCUUUUCUUCCUUCCCCAUCACCCAAUCUGUACCUAUAGUGACUCCUCGCUCCCAUUUCCUCUUUCCUGCUCCUUUUCUUCCUUCCUCAUCACCCCAAUUUGUACCUAUAGGCACUCCUCACACCCAUUUCCUCUUUCUGCUUCUCACCUUCCCUUCCCCAUCACCCAAUCUGUACCUAUAGACUCCUCGAUCCUAUUUCCUAUUUCUGCUGCCCUUCUUCCCUUCCCCAUCACCCAAUCUGUACCUAUGGACACUCCUCGCUCCUAUUUCCUUUUUCCUGCUCCUUUUCUUCCUUCCCCAUCACCCCAAUCUGUACCUAUGGACACUCCUCGCUCCCAUUUCCUAUCUUUUCUCCUUCUCAUCUUCCCUUCCCCAUCACCCCAAUCUGUACCUAUAGACUCCUCAAUCCUAUUUCCUAUCUUUCCUGCUUCUUACCUUUCCUUCCCCAUCACCCAAUCUGUGCCUAUGGACACUCCUCGCUCCCAUUUCCUCUUUCUGCUUCUCACCUUCCCUUCCCCAUCACCCAAUCUGUACCUAUGGAGACUCCCCGCUCCUAUUUCCUCUUUCCUGCUCCCUUUCUUCCCUUCCCCAUCACCCAACCCGUAAUGCUGUCCGUCCUCCCCCUCCCCAUCUCCCUCAUUGACAUUCGUACUGAACCGCUCCCACCAACGUCUGAGCCGUUGUUCCUUCAUCUCACUCCGGGUAGACAUUAUCAAAGAGGAGGCAGUAGUGGCGUUGGGGGGCGGUCGCAGAAGGAGAUGAGCAGUUCCCCAUCAGGGAGCCCCGAACCCGGCAGGAACCUGCAGGGGAAUCGAAUGCCCCCGUGGGAAUCCAAUGUUGUUUCUGCGUCAGAACAAGGGAAGAAUUGGGUCCAUUUCGUGGCCUCUGCCGCCGUUUGGGUCCGUUACUACCACUCGUAGCCCUUUUCAGGGGCCGUUCCACU